rnacentral:rRNA from 1 species
AGAGUUUGAUCAGUGGCUCACAUUGAACGCUGGCGGCAGGCCUAUCACAUGCCAGUCGAGCGGUAGCACACAAAAUCUUGCUUCUUGGGUGACGAGCGGCGGACGGGUGAGUAACGCGUGGGAAUCUACCUGGUAGUGGGGGACAACAGUCGGAAACGACUGCUAAUACCGCAUACGCCCUUCGGGGGAAAGUGGGGGAUCUUCGGACCUCACGCUAUCACAUGAGCCCGCGUCGGAUUAGCUUGUUGGUGAGGUAAAGGCUCACCAAGGCUAUGAUCCGUAGCUGGUCUGAGAGGAUGACCAUCCACACUGGGACUGAGACACGGUCCAGACUCCUACGGGAGGCAGCAGUGGGGAAUAUUGGACAAUGGGGGCAACCCUGAUCCAGCCAUGCCGCGUGUGUGAAGAAGGCCUUCGGGUUGUAAAGCACUUUCAGCUGUGAGGAAAGGCAAGUGGUUAAUACCCGCUUGCUGUGACGUUAACAGCAGAAUAAGGACCGGCUAACUCCGUGCCAGCAGCCGCGGUAAUACGGAGGGUCCGAGCGUUAAUCGGAAUUACUGGGCGUAAAGCGCGCGUAGGUGGUUCAGAUCAGUCAGAUGUGAAAGCCCCGGGCUCAACCUGGGAACUGCACCUGAUACUGCUGAGCUAGAGUACGGUAGAGGGUAGUGGAAUUUCCGGUGCAGCGGUGAAAUGCGUAGAGAUCGGAAGGAACACCAGUGGCGAAGGCGCCUACCUGGACCGAUACUGACACUGAGGUGCGAAAGCGCGGGUAGCAAACAGGAUUAGAUACCGUGGUAGUCCACGCCGUAUACGAUGUCAACUAGCCGUUGGGGGACUUGAUCCUUCAGUGGCGAAGCUAACGCGAUAAGUCGACCGCCUGGGGAGUACGGCCGCAAGGUUAAAACUCAAACGAAUUGACGGGGGCCCGCACAAGCGGUGGAGCAUGUGGUCUAAUUCGAAGCAACGCGAAGAACCUUACCUACUCUCGACAUCCAGAGAACUUUCCAGAGAUGGAUUGGUGCCUUCGGGAACUCUGAGACAGGUGCAGCAUGGCUGUCGUCAGCUCGUGUUGUGAAAUGCUGGGUUAAGUCCCGUAACGAGCGCAACCCUUAUCCUUACUAGCCAGCGAGUAAUGUCGGGAACUCCAAGGAGACCGCCGGCGACAAACUGGAGGAAGGUGGGGAUGACGUCAAGUCAUCAUGGCCCUUACGAGUAGGGCUACACACGUGCUACAAUGGCCGGUACAGAGGGCUGCAAACUCGUGAGAGUAAGCUAAUCUCACAAACCCGGUCGUAGUCCGGAUCGCAGUCUGCAACUCGACGGCGCGAAGUCGGAAUCGCUAGUAAUCGUGAAUCAGAAUGUCACGGUGAAUACGUUCCCGGGCCUUGUACACACC